GGAGGAGUCCGAUGUGGAGGAGGACCUCCGCAGACUGACCCCCCUGAAGCCUGUGAAGAAAAAGAAGCACCGCUUCGGGCUGCCUAAACAGCCUGCCGGGCGCUGGAGCCGCAAUGAAGACCCCAGCUCCUGCCUGGACCUGUGGCCUUGCGUUGGUCCUGCUCUUGCUGCUGGCUGUCCUCCAGACCACCACUGCCCAAAAGAAUGGUAUCGACAUCUACAGCCUCACUGUGGACUCCAAGGUCUCAUCCCGAUUUGCCCACACGGUUGUCACCAGCCGUGUAGUCAACAAGGCUGACACUAUGCAGGAGGCCACCUUCCAGAUGGAGCUGCCCAAGAAAGCCUUCAUCACCAAUUUCUCCAUGAUCAUCGAUGGUGUGACCUACCCAGGGAACAUCAAGGAGAAGGCUGCAGCCCAGGAGCAGUAUAGUGCAGCUGUGGCCAGGGGAGAGAGCGCUGGCCUUGUCAAGGCCACUGGGAGAAAGAUGGAGCAAUUCCAGGUAUCGGUCAGUGUGGCUCCUGCUGCCAAAGUCACCUUCGAGCUGGUGUAUGAAGAGUUGCUCAAGCGGCAUCUGGGAGUGUAUGAGCUGCUGCUGAAAGUCCAGCCCCAACAGGUGGUCAAGCACCUACAGAUGGACAUUCACAUCUUUGAGCCUCAGGGCAUCAGCUUUUUGGAGACAGAGAGCACCUUCAUGACCAGUGAACUGGAAAAUGCCCUCACCACCUCACAGACCCAGACCAAGGCUCACAUCCUAUUCAAGCCAACGCUCUCCCAGCAGCAGAAGUCUCUAGAGCAACAGGAUACAGUUAUAAAUGGCAACUUCAUCGUCCGCUACGAUGUGAACCGGACCCUUUCCGGGGGCUCCAUUCAGAUUGAGAAUGGCUACUUUGUGCACUACUUUGCCCCCGAGGGCCUGCCCACGAUACCCAAGAACGUGAUAUUUGUCAUUGACAAGAGUGGCUCCAUGAGGGGCAAGAAAAUCCAGCAGACCCGGGAAGCCCUAAUCAAGAUCCUGGAUGAUCUCAGCCCCAAAGACCAGUUCAACCUUGUCCCCUUCAGUGAGGAAGCAACCCAGUGGAAGCCAUCAAUGGUGCCAGCUUCAGCCGAGAAUGUGAAGGAGGCCAGGACCUACGCUGCUGGCAUCCAGGCCCAGGGAGGGACCAACAUCAACAGUGCGAUGCUGAUGGCCGUGCAGCUGCUGGAAAGAGCCACCCGGGAGGAGCUCCUGCCCUCAGGGAGUGUCUCCCUUAUCAUCCUCCUCACCGAUGGCGACCCUACUGUGGGGGAGACCAGCCCUGAGAAGAUCCAGAGGAACGUGCAGGAUGCCAUAGGCGGCCAGUACAGCCUCUUCUGCCUGGGCUUUGGCUUCGAUGUUAGCUAUGCCUUUCUGGAGAGGCUGGCACUGGACAACGGCGGCCUGGCUCGGCGCAUCUAUGAGGACUCAGACUCCGCCCUGCAGCUCCAGGACUUCUACCAAGAGGUGGCCAACCCACUGCUGACAGCGGUGGCCUUCGAGUACCCAAGCAACGCCGUGGAGGAUGUCACACAGGACAACUUCCGGCUGCUCUUCAAGGGCUCUGAGAUGGUGGUGGCCGGGAAGCUCCGGGACCAGAGCCCUGAUGUGCUCUCAGCCAAAAUCAGUGGGCAGCUGCUCAUGCAGAACAUCACCUUCCAAACGGAGUCCGGGAUGGCAGAGCAGGAGGAGUUCCCGAGCCCCAAGUACAUCUUCUACAACUUCAUGGAGAGACUCUGGGCAUUCUUGACCAUCCAGCAACUGCUGGAGCAAAUAGUUUCUGCAUCAGAUACUGAGAAGCAGGCCCUCAAGACCCGAGCUCUGGGCUUAUCGCUCAACUACAGCUUUGUUACCCCCCUCACAUCCAUGGUAGUCACCAAACCCGAAGGCCAAGAACAGUCUCAAGUUGCUGAGAAGCCCGUGGAAAAUAAAAACAGACACAGGAACGUUCCCUUAGGUCACGGCGUCUUCAGAUAUCAUUCCAUGGGAAACAGAAGGUCUGGGAUGACAGCUGCCGAGAACUUCUCAUCGAGAUUGGGACCACCCGGACCUCUUCACCAUCGUCAUUCCUCUUAUCCGUUCUCGAACCCGAAUCCAAGACUAACAGACAUGAUGUUAGUGCCCGGAUUACUAUCAGACCCCUCAGGUUUCGAUGGAGUGCUUCAUGGCAUGGAUUUAAUGAUCACAGAAACAAUCAGCACAUCCCCACCCUCAGGUAAGCUGCCAGCCCCCUCAGCCCUCACCCAGGCUCCUUCUGUCAUCUUGCCACUGCCUGGGCAAAGCGUGGACCGGCUCUGUGUGGACAUCAAGCAUUCUCAGGGGCCAAUGAACCUGCUCUCAGACCCUGACCAAGGGAUUGAGGUGACUGGCCACUAUGAGAUAGAGAAGGCUCAGUUCUCAUGGAUUAAGGUGACCUUCAGGAACCCCCAACUGCAAGUCCACGCCACCCCUGAGCACGUGGUAGUGACUCAGAAUCGAAGAAGCUCUGCAUACAAGUGGAAGAAUACACUGUUCUCAGUGAUGCCUGGCCUCAAGAUGACCAAGGACAAGGCAGGGCUCCUGCUGCUCAGCAGCCCAGAUAAAGUGACCAUUGGCUUGCUCUUCUGGGACGGCCCUGGGCAGGGGCUCCGGCUCCUUCUGCGGGAUACUGACCGCUUCUCCAGACACGUCAGCGGGACCCUUGGUAUGCUGCCCAUGGCCCUACGCUCAGGGCAUCCUCAGAAAUCGCCUCUGCCUUCAAACAAGCAAUGCCCCGAAUUUCUGUGUGUCUCCCAGCCUCCCUGUCUUUAUCCUUUGCUGAUCCACCCUUUGUUUCUCAGGCCAGUUUUACCAGGAUGUGCUCUGGGGGCCCCCAACAGAAGCAGAUGACAGCAAACGAACACUGAGUGUUCAGGGGCAUGACCACUCUGCUACCAGGUGACUCAGCACAAAUAAACCACUGAGCUCGGCCAGGGAUGGGGGCUGGGAGGCUGAGAGCUGGUGUCUAGGGUCCCCCAUUUCCCUGUCCUCGCACAGGAACUAGACAUAGCCAGGUAAAAGGUUGAUGCCUUAGACAUGUCUGACCCAGCUCUCAGUGACCCCACAAAGGACAGUCAACUCAGAUACAUAGAAAACACACCAGCCCCGUGAUCACUAGGAGAGCUCAAGCUGGAUUAUCAAGAGGGGGCCCCGGGAACAGAGAUUUCCUGCUGGUCUGUGGAGCUAUAGUUCUG